rnacentral:rRNA from 1 species
AUGGACCAUCUUGCCGUGGAUGACGCCAUCGCAGCGCCGGUCACCACGGCAUCUUGCCGCACAUCCCGUCCUCCUCUUGACUUGGACGGCGCCAUCGCGAUGCCGAUCACCACACCAUCAUCAGCUUGCAGCAUCGCACCGCAACAUCCUACCGGCGGCAUCGCGCCGGCGUCCUCCACCUCACAUAGAGUCCACCGCGUCGCCACCGCCUCGGAUCGACAAGGCUCUGAUACAAAAUGUUGGCGCCGCCUCCCGCAGCGCCGCUUCUUCUUCUUCUACCUCGGUGGCUGCCUCUCACAGCUCACAUAUACAACAAUGAAGGCGCAAGAAAAUUGGUGGCCGGAGCCUCACACUGCCGGCCUUUUCUUCUCUUUCUAUUAUCUUGACUCAAAGAAACACAGUACAGUUUACAUCUCUUAUAAAGGGCCACGCACGCACACACCCACAACCACACUCUCAACUAACAGCACGAUCUCCAUGCACUAA